UCCAUUAAUCAUGCGUUUACACAAACAGUUGAGGAACUUGAAGUCGUAGGUAAAUUUGGAAUGAAAACACAUAUUUGACAGUUUAAAAUAAACUCACAUAAAAUGGAAUUAGGUGAUAUUAAUAUAGAACAUUCCGCUAAUAAACGGCAGGCAUCUGAGAACACUGUAUUUACUGUUGAGAACCGUGGAGGACAACCGGGAAAAGACGAAGGAUAUUAAGAGCACUUGAGGUUUGACAACAAGCCAGGUGAAAGGAAAUGUGAUCAGCCGGAACAUGCAUUAAAACAGAUAAAAUGUAUGGUCUAUAUCAUGCUCACGAUGAUAAUUGUUUUGUAUAUGGCAGUUAUUGUCGUGAUCAUUAUCAUUGCUAUACCUAAAAGCCAAGAUAACCAUGCGAGUUUUUCUGCAAGGCUGAUUGGCAACGGUUCAUUUGUCGGUCCAAGUCAACGAAUAGUUUUUAACGAAGUUUUAAAUAAUCACAUGAAUGGUUACGAAAACGUUUUGGCAUAUUUGAGGCACCGUUGAGUGGCGUGUAUCUUUUCAUUUAUUUCAUUGGAAUCGACGGCGCCUAUGGUAAAGUAGAAUUGAGACUGAAUGACAAAAUAAUCAAUUAUGCGAUAGCGUACGGCAUGUCAGCAUCCUUUAGCGUCAGUGGAAUUGAUAAUAAUGUCACAUUCAAGAGUACAAAGUGGGACGAGAUAGCAAAUGACAUUUCCAGAAACAUUAGAUGCAUAAACGGAAGAAUUACAAUAUCCGGUAUCACAAAUACUGCGAACGUCCAGCAAUCUCUUGAUACCUGUCCAUAUAAAGAUGGUGUUGUAGCUACAGGGGGCAAUUCAACUGUCACGCAUGUCCGGAAAGGAGAACAAGUAUGGGUUCAGAUUCCUGAAAAUACAACCCUUAGUAUCAGGCCAGAAGGAACUACCUUCACGGGUAUUUUACUGUUCCGGAAUUAAGAUAUUUUGGAAUUGCAGUCUUCCCUGUAAUAUGUGCUCUCUUCAUAAUGUGUGCAGAUACAUAUAUAUACAUUGAUAUGAUUCAUCUGCGCUUGACAAAUUGAGUUUAAAGAUAUUAUGUAUGUACAUUGUAUUCGCUAAGCUUGAUACUCCUGAACUAAAUAUGUUUAUGUACUAUGUUCUUUAUUUUUAAAAGAUAGUAAUUAUUUUACAAAACAGACCGGGGGUUGAACUAUAGUUUUGUAUCAAUAUAAGUCGCUAGUCGCUAAUUCAUAAAUUCUAAUGGUUACAUUGCGGACGUCUUUCAGUGUAUAUAUUUUAGAUCGGUCUUGGGACAAGAAUAACAGUUAAACACAAACGUGUCUUCCUUGCACAGACAUAUGUUCAUUUCAAAACGUGUUGAGUCGAUAAUUGCAGAAUUAUUUUGCAGUUUUUUUAGGUUUCGAGGUUUUGAUAAAUUUGAAACAGCUUUAUUUAAUUCGAAUCGCCUUUAAUGCAUGUUUAUUAUCACAAUGAACAAAACAGCUACGUACUGCAAUGACAUUUCAUUGGUAUAUCAGUAAAAAUUCAGUGAAAUGGACCUGGAAAUGGAAAAGCAAUAAUUUGGCAUAGAGAGACAACAAUGAAUCAGUAUAGCGUAUUUUGUAGAUCUAAUCGGUGUAUACAUUGGAGAUUUAAUCCCCCGACUGUAGCAGAAGCUAAUCAUGUAAUGGGCAAAUAUUAACAAGAAUUAGCCUUUUUCAUAUUUUUUAGCGGUACCAAAGAAAUACACGAAAAAAAAACAUGACAACAUCGCUUUUAUUUCCUAUUCACUUUUGUCAAUAGUAUUUCAAACAGGUCCUUGCUGACUUUCCAAUCCAUCAGGUUUCCGGUACACGUGACCAUUUGAAUUAACUCUAAUUUCAGGCUUUGCUUCCGGUGAAAGUGUAAAAUAUCUCGGAACCGCAUUAUAGUUUUAAUGAUUUUGUGGAAAGACAUUUACAGGGAAAUGCCAUCAAACAUUUGGGCAAAGCACAAGAGAGCAACAAGCAUUAAAAAAUUAGUUAUUCUACUCUUUUCCCGAAUAAGGUAUGGACGUAAUCAGCUUUCAAAGUGACGUUCAGCUUUACAGGUGGAAUUUCAGAUUGAACUCAAGCAUAGUUUAUUUUUAUCGGAGUUGUCGAACCUUCUGUGUAAUAAAUCCAAAAAAAUGUAACAGUGUAAACAUUUCACUCUAACUUACAUUUUUAUCAGUGAUAACUGAAUCGAAAGAAAAAAUGGUAUUGGACUAAGUGACUAUUUCUUUUUGUUGUGUUUAUAUUUUAUAGAUUUCGUUGCUAACGAAUUACCUCUUUCUUUCAGAGCGAUUUGCACUGCACGUGUACAGGUCUGUCUGCGCAUUGAAGAUCAACGUAAUGCUGUAGUGACUCUUUAUUUAAAUAUCUUUACAUAUUUCUAGUACUGUUUUAGGUAUAAUUGACUAUAAUUUUAGGCAAAGAAGACCAAACACUCGUUUGAAACUGCAAACGUUCUGAGGCAUGGAACAUCGAGACGCCAUCGUGACAUAUGUUUGACGUCAGUACUACAAAGCUUUUGCGUACGAACUUUUUCAAAUAAUUAUGCAGUAAUCUAUACAAUUGAAAUGUUUGUUACAUGUAUAAAAAGUACAGUUUUAA